rnacentral:rRNA from 1 species
UAUACAUGCAAGUCGAACGAUGAAGUUCCUUCGGGAAUGGAUUAGUGGCGAACGGGUGAGGAACACGUGAGAAACCUGCCUUUCAUUCUGGGAUAACACCGGGAAACCGGUGCUAAUACCGGAUACUCCAUCUUGGCGGCAUCGCCGAGCUGGGAAAAAAUUUUGAUGAAAGAUGGUCUCGCGGCCUAUCAGCUAGUUGGUGAGGUAAAGGCUCACCAAGGCGACGACGGGUAGCCGGCCUGAGAGGGCGACCGGCCACACUGGGACUGAGACACGGCCCAGACUCCUACGGGAGGCAGCAGUAGGGAAUAUUGGGCAAUGGGCGAAAGCCUGACCCAGCGACGCCGCGUGAGGGAUGAAGGUCUUCGGAUUGUAAACCUCUUUCAGUAGGGAAGAAGCGAAAGUGACGGUACCUAAAGAAGAAGCACCGGCUAACUAUGUGCCAGCAGCCGCGGUAAUACAUAGGGUGCAAGCGUUGUCCGGAAUUAUUGGGCGUAAAGAGCUCGUAGGUCGUUUGUCGCGUCGAUUGUGAAAAUCUGAGGCUCAACCUCAGACCUGCAGUCGAUACGGGCAAACUAGAGUGUGGUAGGGGAGACUGGAAUUCCUGGUGUAGCGGUGGAAUGCGCAGAUAUCAGGAGGAACACCAAUGGCGAAGGCAGGUCUCUGGGCCAUAACUGACACUGAGGAGCGAAAGUGCGGGGAGCGAACAGGAUUAGAUACCCUGGUAGUCCGCACCGUAAACGGUGGGCACUAGUUGUGGGAACCUUCCACGGUUUCCGCGACGCAGCAAACGCAUUAAGUGCCCCGCCUGGGGAGUACGAUCGCAAGAUUAAAACUCAAAUGAAUUGACG